GAUGAACGCUGGCGGCGUGCUUAACACAUGCAAGUCGAACGAUGAAGCCCAGCUUGCUGGGUGGAUUAGUGGCGAACGGGUGAGUAACACGUGAGUAACCUGCCCUUGACUCUAGGAUAAGCCCGGGAAACUGGGUCUAAUACUGGAUAGGAACGUCUACCGCAUGGUGGGUGUUGGAAAGAAUUUCGGUCAUGGAUGGGCUCGCGGCCUAUCAGCUUGUUGGUGAGGUAAUGGCUCACCAAGGCGACGACGGGUAGCCGGCCUGAGAGGGUGACCGGCCACACUGGGACUGAGACACGGCCCAGACUCCUACGGGAGGCAGCAGUGGGGAAUAUUGCACAAUGGGCGAAAGCCUGAUGCAGCGACGCCGCGUGAGGGAUGACGGCCUUCGGGUUGUAAACCUCUUUCAGUAGGGAAGAAGCGAAAGUGACGGUACCUGCAGAAGAAGCACCGGCUAACUACGUG
rnacentral:rRNA from 1 species